GAAGACAACAGGAAAUAAGCAAAUACACAAAUACUGUGCGUAAUAUAAUUUCAGCUACCGAUAAUUGCUUGGAAGAAAAACAAAACCAAGAAAAGAGACAGGAAGUGGUGGGCAGAGAGUAUGUUAUGUAGAAUGCUGAAGACAGCCUCUCUGAGGAGGGAUAUUUGAGCAGGGAACUGAAUGAGGUAUGGCAACUAGCACCUGUGGAAGUCUGAGGACCAUCCAGAGAGAGGCCAGAGGAAAUGCAAAAGGCCUAAGUUGGAAAUGAGUCUGGCCUGUUCCAGGAAGAACAAGCAGAUCAGAGUGGCUGCCAUGAACUGAGCAAAGGAGGAAAUGGCCAAAGAUGAGGUGGAGGAGACGGGCAAGGAAUCAGAAAAUGUAGGACCUCAUUCCAGGAGUUUGAGACUACCCUGGGCAACAAGGUUUCAAAAGCUCACUUUAUUCUAAUGUGAAAUGAAGACAUGAUGGUUUGAAAACAAGAAAAGUUAUUGAUCAGCUGUGAGUAUGCUUUGCCUGCUAGCUUAUGCCCACCCCCUUUGAAACGACAAGUCGGGACAGACCACACCCAUAAGCAGCUCUCUGCAAAGACCCAGGCAGACGCCCCAGCCUCCUCCAGCUCACAGAAUAUUUAAGAUCUCCUGCUAUCUCUUGUGACUAGCCUUCUGAGACCCUGAACCCCAGCACUGAUACUCUAAGGACCAGAAACUCUACAGAAGUAUUGCAAAAACGUUCCAAAGGAGUAUAAAUAGAAUUUCAGAGAAAGUAAUGCAGUGGAGAAGCCAAGAGAAGAGUGUUUCACUAAGACAAUUAUCAGUUGCAAGUGCCAAAGAAGGCAACAGUAGAGAAAUUAUGCAAUAUGAGAUGUUUUUGCAACCCAGAAUUUAUUCUGAUUUUGCUUGGAAAGAACCACUUUUUACCCAUUCUCAGCCCUUGUGUUUUGGGUGAAGCUGAAUCUACUCAGAGAUGGAGCAUAUAAUCCAAGCCUGAGCCAAUCAAUG